rnacentral:rRNA from 1 species
AUUAGGAAUCUUGCGCAAUGGGCGAAAGCCUGACGCAGCGACGCCGCGUGGAGGAGGAAGUCUUUCGGGAUGUAAACUCCUUUUAGGUAGGAAGAAACAAAUGACGGUACUACCUGAAUAAGCCCCGGCUAACUACGUGCCAGCAGCCGCGGUAAUACGUAGGGGGCGAGCGUUGUCCGAAGUUACUGGGCGUAAAGCGCGCGUAGGCGGGGUGGCAAGUCCGCUGUGAAAGCCCGGAGCUUAACUCCGGAGGGUCGGUGGAUACUGCCACUCUUGAAGGGACUAGGGGGAGAUGGAAUUACCGGUGUAGCGGUGAAAUGCGUAGAGAUCGGUAGGAACACCAGUGGCGAAGGCGGUCUCCUGGGGUUAUCUUGACGCUGAUGCGCGAAAGCUGGGGGAGCGAACGG